CCUGCCACAGCUGUGUCAUUAGAGGGCAAAGAGAAGAGGGGCUAUGUCUAGGCUCAGGGGUCUGACGUGAACCACCUGACUGACUGCUAGCCCCACAGU
rnacentral:snoRNA from 1 species